AUACGUAGGGGGCGGGCGUUGUCCGGAAUCACUGGGCGUAAAGGGUGCGUAGGCGGUUAUAUAAGUCAGGUGUAAAAGGCAUUGGCUCAACCAAUGUAAGCACUUGAAACUGUAUAACUUGAGUACAGGAGAGGUAAGUGGAAUUCCUAGUGUAGCGGUGAAAUGCGUAGAUAUUAGGAGGAACACCAGUGGCGAAGGCGACUUACUGGACUGUAACUGACGCUGAGGCACGAAAGCGUGGGGAGCGAACAGGAUUAGAUACCCUGGUAGUCCACGCCGUAAACGAUGAGUGCUAGGUGUUGGCAUGCGAGUGUCAGUGCCGAAGUUAACGCAUUAAGCACUCCGCCUGGGGAGUACGGUCGCAAGACUGAA
rnacentral:rRNA from 1 species